CAUGGCUUUGGUGUCAAAAAAAUACAUUUCAUAUUUUUGGUAAGGUUGCAUUAUACUUGCCAGCGAUCUCCAGGAGUUCGCGUCAAAUACAUUAUAUAUUAAUAAACAUUAACUUCAGAUACCAGUCAGCAAUCGCAGGCAGUUUGUGUCAAAUUAAAACAUUUCCUUUUAUAUAAAAUAACUUGAAAAAUGUGUCAUGGCUUUGGUGUCAAAAAAAUACAUUUCAUAUUUUUGGUAAGGUUGCAUUAUACUUGCCAGCGAUCUCCAGGAGUUCGCGUCAAAUACAUUAUAUAUUAAUAAACAUUAACUUCAGAUACCAGUCAGCAAUCGCAGGCAGUUUGUGUCAAAUUAAAACAUUUUCUUUUUA